rnacentral:rRNA from 1 species
UACAGAGGUCCCAAGCGUUGUUCGGAUUCACUGGGCGUAAAGGGUGCGCAGGUGGCGCUUCAAGUUUGAUGUGAAAGCUUCGGGCUCAACCCGGAAAUGGCAUUGAAUACUGGAGUGCUGGAGGUUUGGAGGGGGGACUGGAAUUCUCGGUGUAGCAGUGAAAUGCGUAGAUAUCGAGAGGAACACCAGUGGCGAAGGCGAGUCCCUGGACAACACCUGACACUGAGGCACGAAAGCUAGGGGAGCAAACAGG